AAAAAAUAAUGCCCAGAAAGGGGACUGAAUGUGAUGGGGGGAGGUGGAUGGAAGAAUGGUCAAGGAAGGCUUCUCAGGGGCUCAGCCAGUUGUUAAAUGAGCGACUCUCACCGCUAACUUCUAUGCACUGCUUCAUAACGCAUAAAAAGACUGAGGCUGAGACUCUGCAGUCUACGUGUCUCCCUUGCUAGGGGCUUCUCGUUAAGUCUCAUAAUUGGGGACUGGGGGUGUGCACUAGAAGGAAGGAGACUGUGAGGCUGGAGAGAAAAGAGGACCUUGCUCCUCAGCAAUGGCCCAUUGCCUUGGCAGCCUUCAGCCUUUUUUCCCUUGGGCAUUCCCACGACCAAUCUCAUGAUGUCCCUCAAUGGGUGCCCCGGCAGCCAGCCAGCCCCUCAUCUGAAGUCUAGGUCUCAGCUCUGUGGGCAAAGUCAAUAGGCUUGAGGUCCUGUGGGAAUGCAGAUUCAGUGGAACUGGGACACCAGAGGAAGAAGAAAGAUAGGAAGUAGUGAUCUAAGAAUGGGCUGCUUGAUUUUAUACUUUGGAGAUGGUACCCUUAUUGUCAAGGACCCAGGCUAGGGCAACACUGCCUGAUAGAGCUUUCAGCAACGAUGGAAACACUCUAUAAUCUCAAUAUACUCAAGUCACAUGUGACUAUGAGGAACUUAAAAUGUGGCUAGUGCCACUGAGGAACACAGUGUUGAAUUUUAUUUCAUUUUAAUUCAUUUAAAUUUAAAUAGCCAGGUUCUGAUGGGAUAGAUUCACACAAAGAGAGAGAAUUGCAAGACAGUAUGAUUUUAAAAGCACCCAGGGUGCUAAGGGAGCAUAGAAGAGGUGCAUUUAGGCUAAUUUGAGAAUUAUGGGGGAGCCUCCCGGAAAACCUCCAUGUUCCCAAAUCCAGUGGUGAAUCCUCAGUCCUCAACCUGCUUGAUCUCUGUAUGGUGUACAUCACAGUUUGAACGCUCUCCAUCUUCAAACACGUUCUCUGCUUUGUUUCUGUGCAUCAGACUCUCCUACUUCUCUGACCAUUCCUUCUCAGUCUUCGCAGGUUCUUCUUCCCCUGAUGAGCCCUUUGGAUGAUGGCGUUCCUGGAGGAUUCUAGGGUGUCAGGAAUUUGAACAGGACUCAGAAGGGAAGGCUCAUCUCUCUCCACUAUGUCUGGGACCUCAGCUAGAAGACGUGAAGGCAGAGGAUGAGCGUCAUCGGCAGUUUGCACACUUGCCUGUCUGGCAGUUGAUGCUGCGAAGAUUCAAAUAACUGGGGUCCUGGGGCCUCUCUCUGUGCCCUUUCCCUGUGGUCUCUCCAGACUGGUGACUUCAGCGUAACUGGACUUCUCCCAUGUGGGUUGCCAAUAAUAUGUCCUGAGAGAGAGAGAGAGAGAAAGAGAGAAAGAGAGAGAGAAAGAGAGAGGGAGGCGAGCCAGCUGGAUACGGUAUCACUGUAUCACCUGUUCUAACCUGGCUUUGGAAGUCCCACAAUCUCACUUCCACCACAUUCUAUUAGUUAGAAGCCCGUCAUGAGGGCCGGCCCAUAUUCAAAUGGAGGGGAAUUAGACCCACCUUUUGUGGGAGGAGCUUCAAAGAAUUUUAAGACAUGUUUUAAAACUACCACAAUCCCCACUUAUGCUUUAGGGGCACCAAAUCACCCAUCGAUCCUUGAAUUUGUGGCCAUGCUCUUACUUAAACACUACCCUUUUGUUGCAGUGCCAUUGGUACCACAAGUUUACCUCCUAAAUUUCUACUCACCAUUUAUGAUUCAGCUUAGAUGCCAUCUGCAUUGUAAUCUUCUACAGCCUUACCUUUGGAAGUGAUCACACCUUCUCUGUUCUGCCCAGGGCCCUAUUUCAAUUUUCCUUAGGCGACCUGAAUACGUAUUUGUUAAAUGGAUAAACAAAAUAGCAUAAUAAAACGC
ensembl:lncRNA